rnacentral:rRNA from 1 species
GACGAACGCUGGCGGCGUGCCUAAUACAUGCAAGUAGAACGCACAGUUUAUACCGUAGCUUGCUACACCAUAAACUGUGAGUUGCGAACGGGUGAGUAACGCGUAGGUAACCUGCCUGGUAGCGGGGGAUGACUAUUGGAAACGAUAGCUAAUACCGCAUAAUAUUGAUUAUUGCAUGAUAAUUGAUUGAAAGAUGCUAUUGCAUCACUACCAGAUGGACCUGCGUUGUAUUAGCUAGUAGGUGAGGUAACGGCUCACCUAGGCGACGAUACAUAGCCGACCUGAGAGGGUGAUCGGCCACACUGGGACUGAGACACGGCCCAGACUCCUACGGGAGGCAGCAGUAGGGAAUCUUCGGCAAUGGACGAAAGUCUGACCGAGCAACGCCGCGUGAGUGAAGAAGGUUUUCGGAUCGUAAAGCUCUGUUGUAAGAGAAGAACGGGUGUGAGAGUGGAAAGUUCACACUGUGACGGUAUCUUACCAGAAAGGGACGGCUAACUACGUG